rnacentral:rRNA from 1 species
AUUGAACGCUGGCGGCAGGCCUAACACAUGCAAGUCGAGCGGCAGCGGGAAAGUAGCUUGCUACUUUUGCCGGCGAGCGGCGGACGGGUGAGUAAUGCCUGGGGAUCUGCCCAGUCGAGGGGGAUAACUACUGGAGACGGUAGCUAAUACCGCAUACGCCCUACGGGGGAAAGCAGGGGACCUCCGGGCCUUGAGCGAUUGGAUGACCCCAGGUGGGAUUAGCUAGUUGGUGAGGUAAUGGCUCACCAAGGCGACGAUCCCUAGCUGGUCUGAGAGGAUGAUCAGCCACACUGGAACUGAGACACGGUCCAGACGCCUACGGGAGGCAGCAGUGGGGAAUAUUGCACAAUGGGGGAAACCCUGAUGCAGCCAUGCCGCGUGUGUGAAGAAGGCCUUCGGGUUGUAAAGCACUUUCAGCGAGGAGGAAAGGUUGGUAGCUAAUAACUGCCAGCUGUGACGUUACUCGCAGAAGAAGCACCGGCUAACUCCGUGCCAGCAGCCGCCGUAA